rnacentral:rRNA from 1 species
CUGCAACUCGCCUGCAUGAAGUCGGAAUUGCUAGUAAUCGUAGGUCAGCAUACUACGGUGAAUACGUUCCCGGGCCUUGUACACACCGCCCGUCAAACCAUGAGAGUUGGCAACACCCGAAGUCGGUAGUCUAACCGCAAGGAGGACGCCGCCGAAAGUGGGGUUGAUGAUUAGGGUUAAGUCGUAACAAGGUAAC